UGAAUCUCUCCGGUUCAGGCUCCGGGACGAGAAGAGGGGCCGACUCCAGGCCGGCCACACUACCCGACAGCCCGGAGCCUGCCACGCUGCCGUAGCCGGUGUCUGCUCCUGCGUUCAGAGGCAUCCUGCCCGGCUGCAGUGUUCCCAGCUGAGCUGUGCCGUCUUGAGUUAAAUAUUGAGUGAUCUGACUGGUCAGGAGUGAGGAGUGUCCCCCAGGCAAAGAGAGUUGAGUACCCUGCACUAUAUUUCCAGUGUGUUCUGUACAAAUCUAUUUCCUGCACGAGAACAACUUCUAAAUCACACGGUGACAUCACACAUCACACGUCCUCUCUAAAGAGACACAGGGGUCCACAUUUAAUGAGUCUUACUUGCUGGUGAUGCCUCCUCCUGGUGGGAGCCCAGGCAUCUCCUCUGCAGCCAGGAAUUUGAUCACGUACAAAAGGUCAGGGUCUUCAUCUCUGGACCUCAUCAUCUGGAUUAUUUCUGUGACAGCUCUGCCUCCUGCUGCAGUGCCUCCUGUGACACCUGGGGGGCGCCGGGGAAGCAGACGAUGAUGAUGCUCAUGUUGUCCAAGCUGCCCUGCAGAGGGAGACAGACAUGUUAGAGAGGAAGCACUGCCACUGCACAGGUAGACAGUGGUGGCAGAUUCAGCAAAAGCAACAUACAGAUGUGCUCCAGCAGGUUUCUGGAGCAGUACUGUGCCACAGUGGUGCCUGCAUGUCCAUCAAAAACAGCAAAGUACCCCCAAUCCUUCAGGUCUCCUGU